AUUGAACGCUGGCGGCAUGCCUUACACAUGCCAGUCGAACGGCAGCACGGGUGCUUGCACCUGGUGGCGAGUGGCGAACGGGUGAGUAAUACAUCUGAACAUGUCCUGUAGUUGGGGAUAGCCCGGCGAAAUCCGGAUUAAUACCGCAUACGAUCCACGGAUGAAAGCGGGGGACCUUCGGUCCUCGCGCUAUAGGGUUGGCCGAUGGCUGAUUAGCUAGUUGGUGGGGUAGAGGCCUACCAAGGCGACGAUCAGUAGCUGGUCUGAGAGGAGGACCAGCCACACUGGGACUGAGACACGGCACAGACUCCUACGGGAGGCAGAAGUGGGGAAUUUUGGAAAAUGGGCGAAAGACUGAUCCAGCAAUGCAGGGUGUGUGAAGAAGGGCUUCGGGUUGUAAAGCACUUUUGUGCGGAAAGAAAGCCUUGGCUCUAAUACAGUCGGGGGAUGACGGUACCGGAAGAAUAAGCACCGGCUAACUACGUG
rnacentral:rRNA from 1 species